rnacentral:tRNA from 1 species
GGGUAGGUGGCGGAAAGGCAGACGUAGUACACUCAAAAUGUACCGAUAUAAAUCAUGAGGGUUCGAAUCUCUCCCUACCCA